GGAAGCUUCACAAGGGCCAAAGCUUUUUGCUGGAAUAUUCUGAGGGAAGACAACUUCAUUGAGAACUCGUUGAUCAGUCAGGAAACUCAGGCAAUGCUCUGCUAGUAAUGCUCUCCAAAGAACAAAGGCAACACUGCAUCUCUAGAAUUGAUAGAAUUAACAUGAUGUACUUUCAAUUUCGUAAAUCCUUCUUAGUUUGAUUCAGAUCUUGAGCAAUUCACAGUAAUUCUAAUGCCAUUUCUUCCACUUUGGUUUUUGAUUACUCUUGAUUUCCAGCGGUGAGCAUUGUACCUGAGUUGCAGAGUGGUACUACAAAGGAAUAUUGUUAGCUAAGCCAAAUAAAGGAUGGAUUAGCCAAAGCAAAAUGGUUUUGAAAAUCUCAUGAGGCUAUUUGACAGCAUGUUCAAAAGCAAAAUGUCAUUUGUAUUAUAACACAUCCUGUCUUCAUUUGCUCUACUGAUUUGGUUGCAGGAGCAAAUGUACCUCAUUUGCAGUUAAGAAGGAUUGCAUAUACAGGCAACAUCUGCAAAAGUGAAAUGUGGAACUUUGUUUCAGUUGAAGCUGGUACUAGCAAACAUCAACCAUGUCCGAUCACUUAAUUUAAAUCUCUUAAUUGUCUACUAGAUUAACUGACCUAAUAGAGAUUCUGCACGAAUAAUACACAAUAAGAAUUAAAAAUACGUUAUUCUGUAUUCUU
rnacentral:lncRNA from 1 species